GUGUCAGCAGCCGCGGUAAUACCGGCAGCCCAAGUGAUGGCCGAUCUUAUUGGGCCUAAAGCGUCCGUAGCUGGCCACGCAAGUCCAUCGGGAAAUCUCUCCGCUCAACGGGGAGGCGUCCGGUGGAAACUGUGUGGCUUGGGACCGGAAGAUCCAGAGGGUACGUCUGGGGUAGGAGUGGAAUCCCGUAAUCCGAGACGGACCACCGGUGGCGAAAGCGCUCUGGAAAGACGGAUCCGACGGUGAGGGACGAAAGCUCGGGUCACGAACCGGAUUAGAAACCCGUGUAGUCC
rnacentral:rRNA from 1 species